rnacentral:rRNA from 1 species
UACGGAGGGUCCAAGCGUUAAUCGGAAUUACUGGGCGUAAAGCGCGCGUAGGCGGUUUAGAAAGUUGGAUGUGAAAUCCCCGGGCUCAACCUGGGAACUGCGUUCAAAACUCCUAAGCUAGAGUACGAGAGAGGGAAGUAGAAUUUCUGGUGUAGCGGUGAAAUGCGUAGAUAUCAGAAGGAAUACCAAUGGCGAAGGCAGCUUCCUGGAUCGUAACUGACGCUAAGGUGCGAAAGCGUGGGUAGCAAAC